rnacentral:rRNA from 1 species
AGCAGCCGCGGUAAUUCCAGCUCCAAUAGCGUAUAUUAAAGUUGUUGCAGUUAAAAAGCUCGUAGUUGAAUUUCGGGAUCAAGUCGUCGGUCGUGCUCAGGUACGUACUGGCGUCAUUGAUUUCUCCCUUCUGACGAACCAUGAUGUCAUUAAUUUGUGUUAUGGGAAAUCAGGACUGUUACUUUGAAAAAUUAGAGUGUUUAAAGCAGGCUCACGCUUGAAUACAUUAGCAUGGAAUAAUGAAAUAGGACGUUCGAUCCUAUUUUGUUGGUUUUAGGAUCAACGUAAUGAUUAAUAGGGAUAGUUGGGGGCAUUAGUAUUCAAUUGUCAGAGGUGAAAUUCUUGGAUUUAUUGAAGACUAACUACUGCGAAAGCAUUUGCCAAGGAUGUUUUCAUUAAUCAAGAACGAAAGUUAGGGGAUCGAAGACGAUCAGAUACCGUCGUAGUCUUAACCAUAAACUAUGCCGACUAGGGAUCGGAUGAUGUUAAUUUU